UUCCCAGGCUCUGUAGGAGAAUGAGUUUCCUGGCCCUGGAGGCAUCCUGCACUCCUCAGCUUGUGCUGCCCUUCUUGAAUGACUCGAGGUUCCUGCUUCCAUCACUACACUUCCCAUCGCUCUCCAUCACCUGCUCUGCUCUGAUAAGGAUCUGUGCUGGCUACAGUCUUCGUUCCCUGCAACAUUUGUCUUUUGGGUUCAAGUGA
rnacentral:lncRNA from 13 species